rnacentral:tRNA from 2 species
GUGGCCGUAGCUCAGUAGGUAGAGCACCAGAUUGUGGUUCUGGUGGUCGUGGGUUCGAAACCCAUCGGUCACC